GCCUCUGUGGUGUAGUGAUAGCACGCGCGCCCGGUAAGAGUGGAAUGCGGGUUUAAUUUCCGCCUGUGGUCA